CACGUAGGGCGCGAGCGUUGUCCGGAAUUAUUGGGCGUAAAGAGCUCGUAGGCGGCCUGUUGCGUCCGCUGUGAAAAGCCCGGGGCUUAACCCCCGGGUCGGCAGUGGAUACGGGCAGGCUAGAGGUAGGUAGGGGAGAAUGGAAUUCCCGGUGUAGCGGUGAAAUGCGCAGAUAUCGGGAGGAACACCGGUGGCGAAGGCAAUCCCCUGGGCCUGCACUGACGCUCAUGCACGAAAGCGUGGGGAGCAAACAGG
rnacentral:rRNA from 1 species